AGAGAAAGAGAGAGUGAGGGAGAGAUUAAGGGGUCAAGGGUGGCGUUUUUCUUCAAGACCAUGGCAGCAGCUACAGUGACGCGAAGAAGCCAUGGAGCAACUAAAAAUCUUCAUCCUUUCAAUCCUCAAAUUUUAGCAAACUAAGGAGCUAAGUAUCAAGGUUGAGAUCCUAUGGGGCAGCAUAUACAUAUUGUGUACGGAUAAAUGCUAAAGGUACAAAUAUUAAUUUCGAGAAUCCGCCAGCUUAGGAUUUCCACUCAGCUAUUUUGGAAGUUCUUCAUUAUUCCGGAGCCUAGAAUUAUGAUAUAGAUAUUUUGAUGUAUAUAUUUAUUUAUCCAUGGGUACGGCGGGGCCUUGUCCCGUCAUAUAAUACUGUUGAUAUUCUUAGAGGUCUGUAGACAUAUAUGUGGGUGGUAU